rnacentral:rRNA from 1 species
UACGUAGGGUGCAAGCGUUGUCCGGAAUUAUUGGGCGUAAAGAGCUCGUAGGCGGUCUGUUGCGUCGGCUGUGAAAACCCAGGGCUCAACUCCGGGCCUGCAGCCGAUACGGGCAGACUAGAGUUCGGCAGGGGAGACUGGAAUUCCUGGUGUAGCGGUGAAAUGCGCAGAUAUCGGGAGGAACACCGGUGGCGAAGGCGGUUCUCUGGGCCUGUACUGACGCUGAGGAGCGAAAGCGUGGGGAGCGAACAGG